AAAUUGAAGAGUUUGAUCAUGGCUCAGAUUGAACGCUGGCGGCAGGCCUAACACAUGCAAGUCGAGCGGUAGCACAGAGAGCUUGCUCUCGGGUGACGAGCGGCGGACGGGUGAGUAAUGUCUGGGAAACUGCCUGAUGGAGGGGGAUAACUACUGGAAACGGUAGCUAAUACCGCAUAACGUCGCAAGACCAAAGUGGGGGACCUUCGGGCCUCAUGCCAUCAGAUGUGCCCAGAUGGGAUUAGCUAGUAGGUGGGGUAACGGCUCACCUAGGCGACGAUCCCUAGCUGGUCUGAGAGGAUGACCAGCCACACUGGAACUGAGACACGGUCCAGACUCCUACGGGAGGCAGCAGUGGGGAAUAUUGCACAAUGGGCGCAAGCCUGAUGCAGCCAUGCCGCGUGUGUGAAGAAGGCCUUCGGGUUGUAAAGCACUUUCAGCGGGGAGGAAGGCGNUNAGGUUAAUAACCUNNUCGAUUGACGUUACCCGCAGAAGAAGCACCGGCUAACUCCGUGCCAGCAGCCGCGGUAAUACGGAGGGUGCAAGCGUUAAUCGGAAUUACUGGGCGUAAAGCGCACGCAGGCGGUCUGUCAAGUCGGAUGUGAAAUCCCCGGGCU
rnacentral:rRNA from 1 species